rnacentral:rRNA from 1 species
UGCGGGGGGGGCAAGCGUUGUUCGGAAUUACUGGGCGUAAAGGGCUCGUAGGUGGCCAACUAAGUCAGACGUGAAAUCCCCAGGCUCAACUUGGGAACUGCGUCUGAUACUGGAUGGCUUGAGUAUGGGAGAGGGAUGUAGAAUUCCAGGUGUAGCGGUGAAAUGCGUAGAUAUCUGGAGGAAUACCGGUGGCGAAGGCGGCAUCCUGGACCAUUACUGACGCUGAGGCGCGAAAGCUAGGGGAGCAAACGGG